rnacentral:rRNA from 1 species
AGGAUGAACGCUGGCGGCGUGCCUAACACAUGCAAGUCGAACGUCCUGUCUCGCAAGAGGCAGGGAGUGGCGGACGGGUGAGUACCACGUGGGUGAUCUACCGUGAGGUGAGGAAUACCGGCGAGAAAUCGCCGACAAGACCGCAUAGCCUCGGUGCAAGCCGAGGAAAGCUUUCUCGAGAGAGGGAGCGCCACACGAGGAGCCUGCGCCCGAUUAGCUAGCUGGUGGAGUAACGGUUCACCAGGGCGACGAUCGGUAGCUGGUCUGAGAGGACGAUCAGCCACACUGGGAUUGAGAACGGCCCAGACUCCUACGGGGGGCAGCAGUGAGGAAUUUUCGCAAUGGGGGCAACCCUGAACGAGCAACGCCGCGUGCAGGAAGAAGGUUUCGGAUCGUAAACUGCUUUUCUCGGGAAGAGAACGGACGGUACCGAGGAAUCAGCCCGGCUAACUACGUGCCAGCAGCCGC